UACGUAGGUGGCAAGCGUUGUCCGGAUUUAUUGGGUUUAAAGGGUGCGUAGGCGGUCUUUUAAGUCAGUGCUGAAAUACUCCAGCUUAACUGGAGGGGUGGCAUUGAUACUGGAAGACUUGAGUGCAGUCGAGGUAGGCGGAAUUGACGGUGUAGCGGUGAAAUGCUUAGAUAUCGUCAAGGACACCGAUAGUGAAGACAGCUUACUAGGCUGCAACUGACGCUGAGGCACGAAAGUGUGGGGAUCAAACAGG
rnacentral:rRNA from 1 species